CAGAACUUGGAUGAAACGCAGCGCAGACUGAAAGAUUCAUUUGUUGCUUCGGUUUGUUUCUUCUUGAAAGCAGACGAUAUGUGGAACAAUGCUGUCUCUAUCGUAAUUAUCAUCGUUCCGAGUUAUUACUGGGGAAGAAGUUUACUUUUUCUUCGAAAAGUUUGAAGUGUUUCUUGAAAGAAUAUUCGUUUACAUGCAUGGAUUUAAAAAACAUUUUCGUCUGCAGAUAGUUUACAGGCAAGUGAAAGCAACGGCGUUUCAUUAUGUGAACGGAACGUAAAAAAUUUUCGCAGCAAGUUAAUAAUUUUGUAGGUGACAUUAGAGCUAUAUGUUUUUGUUAUUGCCAUUUUAGGCCUUCUAGUUUAAAACAUAAGGGAAAAAAAAGGAAUUUAAAACUUUUCUUCUCGGAUUUUUAAAAUUUAUAUUCCUACGAAACUAAUUAACGAACAGUAAGAAGCUAGAUGAAUCUAAUUGUAAAAAAUGCUGACUUUAAUAUUUGAACCUCUUUUAAAGAAAAAACAUUAAAAAAAAUGAAUAAUUAAAGUUAAUGAAACAAAUAUUAAGGAAUUUAUUAAAGAUUACAAAUAUUGCUACUUGCUGUAAAUUAUGCACAGAAGCUCAGUGUUAUUAAGUACAUUAAAAAACAAAAUAAAAGUUCCAAAGUUUAACAUUUAUUUCGAUCUUUUGAUUUAUGAUUAGUAAAAAAUUGUUAAUUUUUAUGAAAUUCGAAUUUUUAUUGCUAUACUUUUAACAUAUGAAAGAGAAUUCAUUAGCUAAUAAUAGCCGAAAUAUAACAUAUUAACUACACUGGCGAAGAAAUUUAGUUUGGCAUUUUAAAAAUCUGUAAAUUAAAAAUGCAAAAUAUCCGCAAUCACUUCUAAAUUUCUGAUUAAAAACCUGACGAAUUUUUUUAAAAUUAAGCAUAAAAGAAUAUUCGUUUCUGAAAAACUAAAAAUUUCCUUUGUGUAAAUAAUACUUUAUCAGAAAUAAAAACUAUUUUCAGUUAAACAUACAUUAUUCUUCACUUCUAAUGGAGUUUGUUACAUUAGAUUUGACUCUAGAGUAAUUGUAAAAUUUUCUUUUAUUUCGUUUAAAUAUUAAAUUUGCUAUGAGAUAAAAUGCAUUUUAAAUGGUCAAAAUAAUAAAAAGUUUCUUUUACUUUUCUCGUGGUUGAGUUUUUACUGCAAUUUUAUAUGAAAUGAACAAUUUUAAAACUUUGCCCUUUUUAGAAGUUAUUUUUAAGUAAUAGCUUAAAAAAACUUUGAUUUCGCAUUUUACUGAAUUAAAUAUUUGUUGUUACAAAUAUAAAAAAAGGAUAAAAUACAAAAAUAAUGCACAAUUAAAGAAUUUAGAAUUAGAUUUAUAACCCAUUUAACUGAACGUUUUCUAAAGUACGCUGAACUGCAUCUGUAAAUAUAGUAACUGAAGAGACUGUUUCUUUUAUCAGAAAUUCGAAUGAAAUGCUGUAUCGCCUUAGACAAGAUUUUGAUUCAAGGAAACUUCCACUGCACUAUCGCCUGCUUUUUCAAUCCGGAAGAGAUAUGUUUAUUCUACAAUGCUGAUGUUUUGGUUUAUUACGAUAUUUUUACAAAGCACAAUGGCAAAAUGAAAUAAAUUCCGGAGGCAUUAUAACAUCUAGGAAGGAAAAACUAAAAAGAGACGAAAAAAGAAACUAAAAUUAGCGCACUCCUCUGAACAACUGAACCAAAGCAUGGGUAACGGAGCGAGCUUUAUCUUAUGCCGUUCGGAGACGAAAAAGGACUCGGAGACUGAUUCUUUUGAGAUGGACCUGCGGGUCAGGGAAUUAGAAGAACGAGCCAGUAAUUUAGAAGCGCUUCUUAGAGAAGCUGAAGCUCAAGUGUCUGAUCUAAAAAAAGAGUUACUGUCAAGGGACAAGAGGAUAGAUUCUCUCCUCAGAGAAGUUCACAAAUUGAAGUCUGUACUAGAAGUUACAUCGCAAGAUGUGGCCCAACCCGAUCUUGUACCUUUCGCUGUGCCCAAAUCGGACGUAUCGGGACCAGUUCCUUCUCCUAUUGGAGGUCCUGGCGGCAAGAAACAAGGUGUUUCAGGUGAGAGUGGAGCGCAGAACUUCAAAGGAAUGAUAGAUUAUAUUCUGGAGAAACACGAGAAAGAUUUCAGAUGGAAACAGUUGAUCAAAGAUGCCAUCUUGGGAAAUGAUUUCUUGCAACAUUUGGUGAACUCAUAUCAAGUAAAAGAAAUAGUAGACUGCAUGUAUUCAAAAGAGGUGCCUGCUGGCUCCCUGGUCAUAAGGGAAGGAGAGCCUGGAAGGCACCUAUACGUUUCUGCAGAAGGAGAGCUGGAAGUCAUUAAAGGUGAAAAAUCAUUGGGUAAAAUGGGACCAGGAAAAGCUUUCGGAGAGCUGGCCAUUCUUUACAAUUGCACGCGGACUGCCACAGUUAAAGCUGUGACUGAUGCCUUACUUUGGGUUCUUGAUCGAAGAGCUUUCCAAACCAUCAUGAUGGUCACAGGUAUACAAAGACAAGAGGAAAAUAUAAAUUUUUUAAAAAGUGUUCCUCUUCUGCAAAAUCUCAGUAAAGAAGUGCUGUCAAAAAUGGCGGAUGUUCUAGAAGUGGAUUUUUAUCCAGCUGGUGAGUACAUAAUUCGUCAAGGUGCUACUGGUGACACAUUCUUCAUCAUCAGCAACGGUCAGGUUCGGGUGACGCAAAAAGUGAUUACAGAUGACGGAAUUUAUGCUGAGGAAGAAAUUCGUUGUCUGGGACGUGGAGAAUAUUUUGGUGAACAAGCUUUGCUGAGGGAAGAUCGUCGCACCGCGAACGUAAUUGCCAUGGAUCCUGGAGUAGAAUGCCUGGCUCUGAAUAGGGAAUCAUUUAAUCAACUCAUUGGUGAUUUGCAAGAACUUCAGACUAAAGAUUAUGGAGAUGAAGCUAGACUGCGGAGGAUAUCCAAUCUGUCUUCAUCACCUGUAUGUCUGGACGAAGAAUACAAGCAUAUACAACUGGACGAUCUCGAUGUCUUAGCAACUCUUGGAGUUGGUGGAUUUGGGAGAGUUCAGCUGAAUGUACAAGACAUUCAGGGAUGAAAAAUACGUUUUCAUGUUAAUGGAAGCAUGUCUAGGUGGAGAAGUUUGGAGCAUUCUAAGAGACAGAUGGCACUGCCCUCGCGCCAGAUGUUUAAUUCGUAAUGUAUUUUUUAAAAUUUUGCCGUGUGUUUGUGGCAACAGAUUAAAUAAAACCAAACGACUAGUAAUCGAUGCUAAGAAAGAAUAAACUCAUGUAAACAAU
rnacentral:misc_RNA from 1 species